GCACUGGCAGAGGACAGGCUUGCAGGGGUUCACUCUCCUCUCCCCACGCUUACUAGCUACAAGCCCCCUCCCCUGUGAUGGUCUUCAUGCUGCAGUGUGUGCAUGUCUAUCUCUGUGCACUGUCGUCGUUAACGAAAGCAACUUUUUAAUUAAGAGACACUGAGCAUCAAUCAAGACUUUUAGAGAUGCCAUCUGGGACGCCUGCCGAGAACUGAACAACAAACAUCAUGAAUAACGCACAGACGGACGCAUUCACACAGACAGGGCGGUGUGCAGAAAAAGAACCAGCACUGGAAACAAAAAUGUGACAACGGAGACAGAGUCAGUCAAGUGCAAAGAGGACAGAGAGGGAGAAAUGGGAGAGCUCCCCAUUGCGUUACUGGGCGACUGUAGCCAAUGGUGGACCUGAACAUUGCUCAGAGGUUAGAGAGGCCGGUUCAUGAAAAGAUUGGUAGUUAUUGUUCAGAACUAUUUGUGAAAACUGUGGGUGAAGAAACCAAGCCAAAAAAAAAACAAUGUCGUGGUUUUCUAAGACUGUGUGGGAAUCCCGCUGCAACAGGAGACUGUGCUUGUAAUGUCAAAGUGGUGCAGGGCAGCGUUGAAAAGAAUGUAUGUGCAAAUAAAGGUUAAAAAGAG